rnacentral:rRNA from 1 species
GCUAAAUACCGGCCAGAGACCGAUAGCGCACAAGUAGAGUGAUCGAAAGAUGAAAAGCACUUUGGAAAGAGAGUCAAACAGUACGUGAAAUUGUUGAAAGGGAAGCGCUGGCAACCAGACCUGUCCGCGGGCUUCAGCCCUCGUUCUCGAGGGUGUACUUGUCCGCGAUCAGGCCAGCAUCGGUUCGGGCGGUUGGAUAAAGGCCUUGGGAAUGUAGCUUCCCCCGGGAAGUCUUAUAGCCCUUGGCGCAAUGCGACCAGCCCGGACCGAGGACCGCGCUUCGGCUAGGAUGCUGGCGUAAUGGUUGUCAGCGACCCGUCUUGAAACACGGACCAAGGAGUUGACCACUUAUGCGAGUGUUUGGGUGUCAAACCCAUACGCGUAAUGAAAGUGAACGGAGGUGAGAACCCUUAAGGGCGCAUCAUCGACCGAUCCAGAUGUCUUCGGAUGGAUUUGAGUACGAGCAUAAUUGGUCUGACCCGAAAGAUGGUGAACUAUACUUGAAUAGGGUGAAGCCAGAGGAAACUCUGGUGGAGGCUCGCAGCGGUUCUGACGUGCAAAUCGAUCGUCAAAUUUGGGUAUAGGGGCGAAAGACUAAUCGAACCAUUCUCGAACGCUACUAGGUGGUUAAUCAGGGGCGGCCCGGAGCGUAUCCCUGGGCGCGAACCCUCAGUCCUUCGGGGCGACACUACCAUCUGCAUGGACGUCCCGCGGGUCUCCCGCGGGACUGAUAUGCUGCGGGCCUACCCUUUCCGAGGGGACAGGCACCGUACACAGACCAAAUGGUGGUGGCCAGAUCCAAGCUCUGGUUCAGAUAUGGCCGAGUCCCGCUCGAACAACGAGCGGAUCUAACGCUAGUAGCUGGUUCCUGCCGAAGUUUC